rnacentral:rRNA from 1 species
AUCGAACGCUGGCGGCAGGCCUAAUACAUGCAAGUAGAGCGAGCGGCGGACGGGUGAGUAAUGCCUGGGAAACUGCCCGAAGGAGGGGGAUAACUACUGGAAACGGUAGCUAAUACCGCAAACCAUCUGAUGUGCCCAGAUGGGAUUAGCUAGUAGGUGGGGUAACGGCGCACCUAGUCGACGAUCCCUAGCUGUGCUGAGAGGAUGACCAGCCACACGGGAACUGAGCAACGGUCCAGAGUCCUACGGGAGGCAGCAGUGGGGAAUAUUGCACAAUGGGCGCAAUCCUGAUGCAGCAAUGCCGCGUGUGUGAAGAAGGCCUUCGGGUGGGAAAGCACUUUCAGCGGGGAGGCGUUACCCACAGAAGAAGCACCGGCUAACUCCGUGCCAGCAGCCGCGGUAAUUC